UGGGUGGUAUAUUUCAUCUAAAGCUAAAUAUUGGCCAGAGACCGAUAGCGCACAAGUAGAGUGAUCGAAAGAUGAAAAGCACUUUGGAAAGAGAGUUAAACAGUACGUGAAAUUGUUGAAAGGGAAGCGCUUGCAACCAGACUUGCAUGCCGUCGAUCAUCCUGGGUUCUCCCUGGUGCACUCGGCGGCGUUCAGGCCAGCAUCGGUUUUGGUGGUUGGAUAAAGGCCUUGGGAAUGUGGCUCCUUUCGGGGAGUGUUAUAGCCCUCGGUGCAAUGCAGCCUACCGGGACCGAGGACCGCGCUUCGGCUAGGAUGCUGGCGUAAUGGUUGUAAGCGACCCGUCUUGAAACACGGACC
rnacentral:rRNA from 1 species